rnacentral:rRNA from 1 species
GACGAACGCUGGCGGCGUGCUUAACACAUGCAAGUCGAACGGAAAGGCCCUGCUUUUGUGGGGUGCUCGAGUGGCGAACGGGUGAGUAACACGUGAGUAACCUGCCCUUGACUUUGGGAUAACUUCAGGAAACUGGGGCUAAUACCGGAUAGGAGCUCCUGCUGCAUGGUGGGGGUUGGAAAGUUUCGGCGGUUGGGGAUGGACUCGCGGCUUAUCAGCUUGUUGGUGGGGUAGUGGCUUACCAAGGCUUUGACGGGUAGCCGGCCUGAGAGGGUGACCGGGGUGGAGGAGACUAAGAAAGGGGCGAGGGGGCGAUGGGAGGGCGGGGGGGGGGAGGUGGCGGAGUGGAGGGGGGGGUGAGGCAGGAGCGACGGGGGCGGGAGGGGGGGGAUGGGGUUGGAAAAAGCGUACGCAGGUGACGAGGAGGGGGGGAGGGGAAUGGAAAAAGGAGCAACGGCGGACUACGUG